rnacentral:rRNA from 1 species
GAUGAACGCUGGCGGCGUGCCUAAUACAUGCAAGUGGACCGCGGAGGGUGGGACUUUUACCCACUUGAAGAGACGCGAAAAGGGGAGGGACGCCGGGGGAAACCUCCCUUUAAGGGGGGGCCAAAAUUUUGAAACAAUUCUUAAAACCCAUAAAAAACUUAAAAACAAAUUUUAAAUUUUAAAAAUGCCAUUGGCAUACACAAAGAAUAAGCCCCGUUGUACUUGCUUUGUUGGGAGGUAAAAGGCCAACCAAGGCAAGAUACAUAGCCGACCUGAGAGGGUGAUCGGCCACCUUGGGAAUGAGACACCGCCCCAACUCCUACGGGAGGCAGCAGUAGGGAAUCUUCGGCAAUGGACGAAAGUCUGACCGAGCAACGCCGCGUGAGUGAAGAAGGUUUUCGGAUCGUAAAACUCUGUUGGUAGAGAAGAACGUUGGUGAGAGUGGAAAGCUCAUCAAGUGACGGUAACUACCCAGAAAGGGACGGCUAACUACGUG